rnacentral:misc_RNA from 1 species
GACGUAGGGGGCAAGCGUUGUCCGGAUUUAUUGGGCGUAAAGAGCUCGUAGGCGGCUUGGUAAGUCAGGUGUGAAACCUCCAGGCUCAACCUGGAGACGCCACCUGAUACUGCCAUGGCUAGAGUCCGGUAGGGGCGCGUGGAAUAUCCGGUGUAGCGGUGAAAUGCGCAGAUAUCGGGUGGAACACCAGUGGCGAAGGCGGCGCGCUGGGCCGGAACUGACGCUGAGGAGCGAAAGCGUGGGUAGCAAACAGG